rnacentral:rRNA from 1 species
GUGGGGAAUUUUGGACAAUGGGCGCAAGCCUGAUCCAGCAAUGCCGCGUGCAGGAAGAAGGCCUUCGGGUUGUAAACUGCUUUUGUACGGAACGAAAAGGCUCUGGUUAAUACCUGGGGCUCAUGACGGUACCGUAAGAAUAAGCACCGGCUAACUACGUGCCAGCAGCCGCGGUAAUACGUAGGGUGCAAGCGUUAAUCGGAAUUACUGGGCGUAAAGCGUGCGCAGGCGGUUUUGUAAGACAGAGGUGAAAUCCCCGGGCUCAACCUGGGAACUGCCUUUGUGACUGCAAGGCUGGAGUGCGGCAGAGGGGGAUGGAAUUCCGCGUGUAGCAGUGAAAUGCGUAGAUAUGCGGAGGAACACCGAUGGCGAAGGCAAUCCCCUGGGCCUGCACUGACGCUCAUGCACGAAAGCGUGGGGAGCAAACAGGAUUAGAAACCCCGGUAGUCC